GUCUAGCGCAGGACUCCGUUGAAAGUGAAAUUAAAAAGAGAUCCCAUUUGGAGAUUUAAUUACAGUUUCUUUGUGUGAACGUUUGCAAAGUGGCUCUGGAGUGCUAUUUGAGUGAUAUCGACCAUGAUUUGAGCGGGUCAUUUGCAGACGCCGAGAGCGUGCGAGCUGUUUUGGGGAAGUAGGGCGGGGGGCGCUGGCGUUUUAUGCGGUCUUUCCACCCACCCUCGCCUAAUCAGAGGGCUCUCAAUCGGGUUUUGAAAAUACUAAUCUUGAUCUAAGAGCUCCUGCCUCUGCAUAAGUGGAGGAAAUGAUUCAUUUUUAGAGGCCUCUGGAUUUGGGGAAGAAGGACGGUCCUCACACAGACGCGGAAGACCCAGCAGAAUGGCCUCUGCUCUCCAGGCGCGGAGCCCGGAACGGACCUGACCGCUCUCUCGGUGAAUUGCGCCACCCCACAUGCUCCGUAGGCCUCUGGGUGAUUGUGAAAUCUGCAGUCUAAUUGUCAGCCAGUGGAUGAAAACACAUACUGAACAAGCAAUGUCUGGAUUUCCGUAUCCACAGAGGGCCAAAUGCCUGUGCUCACUUCUGGGACUUUCUUUGCCCUAAAUCUAAACUAUAACUCUGUAGCUGUGGAGACUGCUGCACAGGUCACCAAAUGUCACCAUCUAACACUGCUGAGGACAAGUCUUUAGAAACAGUUUUCUUGCCACCAACAGGUGAACAAAGCUGACCUCAACAAAUCUUCCUCCAGCUAUGGACCUCAAAGACCUAAAGCAGGAGCCUUGUGCUGUUCCAGUUUUCUGAAACCUAGUUUGGUGUUCAAGGCUGGACAAUAACUGCUUCUGGAAGGAGAGAGGUAUGCUCACAGUCACAGGAGGGUUUAUACCUUUCUCUCCUUUCUUUCUUCUAGGGUUGUUUCCUAUUUCCAUUCCAGGACUUGCAUCUUUUAAGAUCUAAAGGUCCUCCAGCAAGGAUGAGGUAGAAAUUCUAACCAAAUAAUUGAGGCAGUUCCAGGAUUCACUUUUCAUCUGGGAUGAAGGGCUUAUGGUACCCAGUGUGUCGACCAGUGUCAUGGCUCCUUGGGUACUCCUGUGAGUACUUUGGACCUCAGUGUUCAAAAUUAAAUUGCAAAACUAUUCUGGUUGCCUCAGAAAUCAUUUGAAUCUGAGCCUCUGUUUAAAAAGAAGGUAAAGGAUAGGGUAAGACUCUUCAAUCUACCCUGCUGGGCAUGCUGUCAGGUGACCACAGGCUUGGCUUUGCUCCUAAGUAGGAAGACAAAAGAGUGACCAGUCUGAGUGGAUGUCAAGGCCAUUGGCCCUGCUGCCCAGGGUCCUCCUCAACCUGGAAAGAGGCUACGCCCUCCAGCCCACAACAGGAAGUGAGAACUGAAAAGAGAUGCCCUAGAGGGAAGAUGAGUCUCUCCCUGGACCCAGCCACUCUCCAGCCUGAGCAGGUCUUUUCCGGGACUGGCAGGCUGCAGAGCUACUAGACACCUCAGAUUCCGAGGUCCUAGAAGAGUCUUUGCAACCCAGAAUGAUGACAGCAGCCCUGGCUGAGCUGUGUUACCCAGCACUGAGGGGAGAGCAACUGGACUAUAUCAUGAAGACGUGGGUUUCUCUACAGUACAGCGAGUUCCAAACUUGGUGUAGCUGCUGCAAGCUUCCAAACAUGGCAAGAAAUCAUUUUUAGGAAUGAUUAAUCCCACUCAUUUUGCUCAAAUCAAAGCACGCUGUUUCAGGAGGGAGUCCAGCUGGCAAUUUUUCAAAACUGCAUCUUUGCCUUGUAACAUGAUUGGUAAAGAAUCCCUUGACCAGCCUCGGUGUUCUAGAGUUUGCCUUCAUUAUUGCUUUGGAGUCUUGACGCUGUGAGAAAUAAUAAGCAGCAGUUUCUCCUGAAGAUUUCCUUAAAAAAAUAAACAUAUAACUUUAAUCUAUAAUAACCGUCACUAUAUUUCUUUCUCUUUCGCUUCUUUAGAGUACUUCUGUGGUGAGUCAGUAAUUUGAUGAGUUUAGUGAAAGGAAAAAAAUCUUUCAUAAAUAAAUCAGAAUCAAACCA